GCAAGUCGUGCGAGAAAGUUCUUCGGAUAUGAGUAGAGCGGCGGACGGGUGAGUAACGCGUAGGAAUCUACCUAGUAGAAGGGGAUAGCCCGGGGAAACCCGGAUUAAUACCGUAUACCUCCUUCGGGAGAAAGAAGGCCUCUCUUUGAAGCUUUCGCUACUAGAUGAGCCUGCGUAAGAUUAGCUUGUUGGUGAGGUAAAGGCUCACCAAGGCUACGAUCUUUAGCUGGUCUGAGAGGACGAUCAGCCACAUUGGGACUGAGACACGGCCCAGACUCCUACGGGAGGCAGCAGUGGGGAAUAUUGGACAAUGGGCGCAAGCCUGAUCCAGCCAUACCGCGUGUGUGAAGAAGGCCUUCGGGUUGUAAAGUACUUUAGGCAGGGAGAAAAAGUUAUAAGUUAAUACCUUAUAACCCUGAUGUUACCUGCAGAAUAAGCACCGGCUAAUUCCGUGCCAGCAGCCGCGGUAAUACGGAAGGUGCAAGCGUUAAUCGGAAUUACUGGGCGUAAAGCGCGCGUAGGUGGUUUGUUAAGUUGGAUGUGAAAGCCCUGGGCUCAACCUAGGAACUGCAUCCAAAACUAACUCACUAGAGUACGAUAGAGGGAGGUAGAAUUCAUAGUGUAGCGGUGGAAUGCGUAGAUAUUAUGAAGAAUACCAGUGGCGAAGGCGGCCUCCUGGAUCUGUACUGACACUGAGGUGCGAAAGCGUGGGUAGCGAACAGGAUUAGAUACC
rnacentral:rRNA from 1 species